UACGGACGGGGCAAGCGUUGUUCGGAAUCAUUGGGCGUAAAGGGCGCGUAGGUGGUUCUGUAUGUCUACCGUGAAAGCAUACAGCUCAACUGUAUUUUGUCGGUAGAAACUGCAGGACUUGAGGCUGGGAGGGGCUGGUGGAAUUCCCUGUGUAGCGGUGAAAUGCGUAGAGAUGGGGGAGAACACGCGUGGCGAAGGCGGCCAGCUAGACCAGUUCUGACACUGAGGCGCGACAGCGUGGGGAGCAAACAGG
rnacentral:rRNA from 1 species